rnacentral:tRNA from 1 species
GCGGGUGUAGUAUAACGGCAUUAUGUCAGGUUUCCAACCUGAAGACGCGGGUCCGACUCCCGCUACCCGCU